CUUCUUCCAUUAUCAACAAUCUUCUCUCCUCAAUAGGCUGCAAAGCAUUCACAAGCUCUAUAAGUGGUAUAUUCAAAAAAUUCCUUAUUUUCUUCAAGAGAGGAUAUUUUUGACUCAAUCCUAUAUGGAAGACAAACCAAGACUUUCUCCAUCACACUUUGAUCGAGAUGCACUGGUUUUGGGCCAUCGAACAUCGGAGUCUCGAGGGCAUCAGGGAGAGAAUUGAUGUUGUUGUUGGAGGAGUUUUCUCAUCCCUAUGGCGUCAUGACUCGUGCACGCAAUGCUAUUUUGAUGGGGAAACGCUCAAAUGAUACAGAUUUUGUUUUCAAAAAAAAUUCAAAAUCUUAAUAGAAACUUCAUCAUGUAGUGUUGUGCAAUGUCUUCCUUAGCCACUUAUUCAUUGUGGAACCUUAUAUGAGCCACGAACGGGUUAUUGGCUUGAUUGCUGACAAUUUCUACCAUUUUCCAUAAACUCCAAGCUCUUAGAUGAGUUCUCAUUUUGAUAUUUAAUUUUUUUAGGUUGAGGAUUCGUCA